UGAGUAAUGCCUAGGAAUCUGCCUGGUAGUGGGGGACAACGUCUCGAAAGGGACGCUAAUACCGCAUACGUCCUACGGGAGAAAGCAGGGGACCUUCGGGCCUUGCGCUAUCAGAUGAGCCUAGGUCGGAUUAGCUAGUUGGUGAGGUAAUGGCUCACCAAGGCGACGAUCCGUAACUGGUCUGAGAGGAUGAUCAGUCACACUGGAACUGAGACACGGUCCAGACUCCUACGGGAGGCAGCAGUGGGGAAUAUUGGACAAUGGGCGAAAGCCUGAUCCAGCCAUGCCGCGUGUGUGAAGAAGGUCUUCGGAUUGUAAAGCACUUUAAGUUGGGAGGAAGGGUUGUAGAUUAAUACUCUGCAAUUUUGACGUUACCGACAGAAUAAGCACCGGCUAACUCUGUGCCAGCAGCCGC
rnacentral:rRNA from 1 species